CCCUUAGAUGUUCUGGGCUGCACGCGCGCUACACUGAUGCACUCAACGAGUAUACAGCCUUAUCCGGAAGGAUUGGGUAAUCUUUUGAACGUGCAUCGUGAUGGGGAUAGAUUAUUGCAAUUAUUAAUCUUCAACGAGGAAUUCCUAGUAAGCGCAAGUCAUCAGCUUGCGCUGAUUACGUCCCUGCCCUUUGUACACACCGCCCGUCGCUCCUACCGAUUGAGUGAUCCGGUGAGUGAUUCGGACUGUUGCUAGGACUCGCGUCUGUGCAGCGGAAAGUUUUGCAAACCUUAUCACUUAGGGGAAGGAGAAGUCGUAACA
rnacentral:rRNA from 1 species